GCGGGCGUGGUGGAACUGGUAGACGCGCCGGACUCAAAAUCCGGUUCCGCAAGGAGUGUGGGUUCGAUUCCCACCGCCCGCACCA
rnacentral:tRNA from 1 species